ACUGGCUGCUAAGUUAUGCAAUGCUCUGAAGAAUGCCUUGGGAUUAUUUGUCAGAUGCUCUGAAUGCAGGUGUGUAAUAUUCCUAUCCUUGUCGCAAAACAACUAACUUUGUUCCUUCUGGAUAAAAAUAUAAACAGGGCAAUAUAACUGCAUCUACUACGUUUGGAUUUACAACUCAGCAACACGAAGAAAACAUCUUCAGAGAAUUAACAAGAUCGAGAGCACGUUACCAAAACAUGCCUCUGGAAUGUCCUGGGUUAACAGCUACAUGUAUAUGACAAAGAGUGGGAGAUUAAAUUUUAACUGGAAGUCUCAGCUGUGUAUCCACUGUUGGUACAGAAUGUGCUUCGUCUGAUCGAAGAUUCAAAAAAUUUAAAAGGGAAACAAACAUACAACCUGGAUAAGAAGAGCAAGGUUUUCCUUCCAAACAUAAAAUUGUUUCAAUGGAUAACCGACAUAAGGCCUGCAUUUCUUGGAAGAUAUUAUAACAUUAUUGCAUCUGCAGCCUAAUUUAUCAAGAAAUUGUUCAUGCAUGCAUACAAUUUCUGCUCUGACUGAAAGGAACAGCCCUCCAUGAAGAUAAGGCUGUUUUUCCACUGCAGUGAGGAGUAAGCAGCAUGUCUGAUGAGAUUUUAUUCCUGAUGCAAUGUAGGCCAGCAGUCCAAACACUGGUGAAGGUCUUUGCAGAAAAAAUGAGGAGCGCUGCCAUUACAACGUUAGAAGAUGUAAAAAAGCAAGAAGAAAGUGAGGAAAAAGAGGAAUCUGUUUUAGCUCUGUUGGGAAUAAUUGGAACAGUGCUUAAUCUAUUUGUAAUAAUUUUUGUGUAUAUCUACACAACACUUUGAUGGUUUUCUAGAAAUCCAGAAAAGCACAGAGUGCAAAGGCCAGCAAUGACAAAUAGGAUCAGUGAACUCUAUCCAACAGGAAACAAAGCCUCAAAAGAAAAUACACAUUCCAGACAGAACUGCCCAGAUAAAGGCCCAGCACCACUGACCAUAUUCAAAUGUAUCUUUGAAUCUAAUUAAGCUUAUUACAUGUAAAUGAAAACAGUAUUCAACUUCUAAAUGAUGAGUGUCAAUAUUCAAAUUCUUAAAAUGCAUAGUGUUCUUCUGCCAGUGAACAUGGGGACAGUGAUAAUAUAAGCAGGUUACAAAUAAAGAGAAUGGUGCCAUGAAGCCUACUUGUUUUAUUUACCUGAUCCCCAUUAAGCUUCUGGAUUCAUUUAAAUAACAUCUGGGUUGGAAUCCAGUGCACUUUCUACCAUUAUUAAGUGCUAAAAUUUAUACAACUAUACAUGAAAUGUAGAAAGAAGAACAUUGUUAAGCACCAUAUUAUGAAUAAAUAAAAUCUUCAUUGAUUAGCUUCCAUGAUACUUUUAUUUCUUAUACUGCUGACAAUUCUGUCAGGUACUGCAAUAUAAUGCUUGUAGGUAUUAAUUUAUAUCCAUGCUUAUAAGCUACACUCUAUACAACAUGUAAUUGUAAAACAAUGUUUGUAUUGCAAAUUGUAAUUUUCAAGGGCAAUUUUCAUUAAAAAAAGUGAAGAUCAUGGUUUGGGGAAAACAUAGUAACUGCAAUCUACUAUAGAAGUCUGACUUUAACAGAAUAUUGGAAAGAAAUACAUUGAGUAAUUGAAAUUUGAAUCAUGUAUGAUUUAAAAACAGUUUUUAAAACAGAUGGUUUUAAAGUAUUAUGGUAUUAUAUUGGUUCCAAACAAUAUAUUCUCCAUGGCCAAUAACCUGGGGAAAUCUUUCAUGCAUUUACUCAAAAUUCCACUUAAUUGAUCCAAAUAAACAUUUUUACAGUUUUAAA